CAAAGCUGGAAAUAAUGAUGCUUCAGGAGAAGCAGAAGCUUCAAGCCCUGCGUGUGAGCUAAAAACUUUCUGCUGCGGCUUCUAAUCAGAUCUUCUGAAGGAAGUUGUAAGAGGCCCUGGAACAUUUUGGAGUUUAAGUAUCAUGUAGAAAUGAGCUGCAUUUCCAAUCCCUAAUUUCAACUACAGCUAACAAAAGGGUUUAAAAAGCCUUUCCUUUCCUGCUCUGAGACGGAAAUGCUCUUCUGGAGCAGUUAAUUCAAUCAGUCGUCCACAAACAAACGACCUCAUAAAUCAAAGGAACCCAAGGAGAGACCAGCACGGAAAUUGCAAGGAGAGUGACAAAAGUCGUCUUACUGACUUGCCGCAAGACCUGGGUUUAGCUCUCCGAAGGCAGGACUGGCCCAAAGGCUCCUGCAGCAUGACGUGACUCGGGCUAAAAGGGGUCCAACAGACUGUUUUCGACUCAACCAGAGGAAAUUGGCCAUUGCAGGCUGUAUGCUAAAUGAUUAAUUAUUUGGGCAAUUUAAGGCUGAAUUAAGGAA